CAAUAGCGUAUAUUAAAGUUGUUGCGGUUAAAAAGCUCGUAGUUGGAUUUCUGCUGAGGACGACCGGUCCGCCCUCUGGGUGAGUAUCUGGUUCGGCCUGGGCAUCUUCUUGGAGAGCGUAGCUGCACUUGACUGUGUGGUGCGGUAUCCAGGACUUUUACUUUGAGGAAAUUAGAGUGUUUCAAGCAGGCACACGCCUUGAAUACAUUAGCAUGGAAUAAUAAGAUAGGACCUCGGUUCUAUUUUGUUGGUUUCUAGAGCUGAGGUAAUGAUUAAUAGGGAUAGUUGGGGGCAUUCGUAUUUUAACUGUCAGAGGUGAAAUUCGUUGGAAUUUUCGUUGAAAUGAUCAGGACGUACUGCGAAAGCAAUUGCCAAUGGCAGUGUUUUUUCAUUGAUCAAGAACGAAAGUUAGGGGGAUCGAAGAUGAUCAGAU
rnacentral:rRNA from 1 species